rnacentral:rRNA from 1 species
GACGGAGGAUGCAAGCGUUAUCCGGAAUGAUUGGGCGUAAAGCGUCCGCAGGUGGCAGUUCAAGUCUGCUGUCAAAGACCGGGGCUUAACUUCGGAAAGGCAGUGGAAACUGAACAGCUAGAGUAUGGUAGGGGCAGAGGGAAUUCCUGGUGUAGCGGUGAAAUGCGUAGAGAUCAGGAGGAACACCGGUGGCGAAGGCGCACAUCUGGCCCGAUACUGACGCUGAGGCGCGAAAGCUAGGGGAGCAAACGGG